AGAAAGGCUGCGCCAAGGGGGAGGGGUCGAGGCUGGGCUGCGUGGAAGAGCCUUGUUGGAGCUGAGGGGCAGAACGGUGUCCUUUGACCGCCAUUAGGAGUCACGUGGGCUGAGGGGCGGGGCGGAAAGGCUGGAUGAGUUCCUUCCGGGUCAGUGACAGAGGCGUUAACUCUGGGGUAGUUCCUGGCAACUUGAUCUUCACUGCUUGUUCCUUUUCCCAGGAUAAGGUGAUUGUGAUUUCGGCGAUGAGCUCUCAGAAGGGGAACGUGGUUCGUUCCAGGCCUCAGAGGCACCAGAAUACGUUUAGCUUCAGAAAUGACAAGUUUGAUAAGACUGUUCAGACCAAGAAAAUCAAUGCAAAACUUCAUGAUGGAGUAUGUCAGCACUGUAAAGAGGUUCUUGAAUGGCGUGUAAAGUACAGCAAAUACAAACUAUUGUCAAAGCCUAAAAAAUGUUACCCCCGUCAGCCACGUUCCAGAAGCAGAUGAUCCUCCUGUGAAUCCUCGGAAGGUCAACAGUAGCCUAACCCUAUGUCACAGUGCCUACGUCAUCACCUCACUUUCUCUCAUCACACAGCAUGUUAUCCUCUCACGUUGUCACAAGGAGGGGUAGAUCUGUGCAUCACUGGCAACUGUUGGAAAACCAUGUAAAAUGUGAUCAUCGUGAAUGACAAUUCACAAUUGAGGGACCCGAUGAGUCACGAGGAAACUGAAUGGCAAAUCCUUCACAGUUGACUGUGAUGAGACUGCGCGGAAACAGUCAGAGUCAAGACCAGGUCCGUCCCAUGCUAACUGGAUUGGCAAGCCAACCCUCCUGAACCUCGGUUUCCCCAUCUCUGAAAUGGUUAGAAUACAUCCUCCUCCUAUGUUGAGCCUCCAUUUUGAGGUUCAAAAUGACAUGGUAGAAGAGGAAGACUUUUUAAAACAAUCAAGAUCUACUAGUAGGAGAGACUGACCAGCUGCAGGUAUAACGAUGCUCAUAAGGCGGCCAGAUGACCAAACCCAUCCUGCCAUGGUCCUAUCCUUUGCCUCAGGCAAUUAGAGUUCAGAAUAUGCUGGUCCCACCCAGGAGUUGGGGAAUUUUAAGACUACUUGGCUUGAUCUCAAGAAGGGAGAAAUGUGAUCUUAAGAAAUGAAGCUUUUCAACUUUUCUGUAUGUUUGAAAAUUUGCAUAAUAAAAUGGUGUAAAAUUAA